AGAGUUUGAUCAUGGCUCAGAGCGAACGCUGGCGGCAUGCUUAACACAUGCAAGUCGCACGCCCAGCAAUGGGAGUGGCGGACGGGUGAGUAACGCGUAGGUAUCUGUCCAUGGGUGGGGGAUAACCUUGGGAAACUAAGGCUAAUACCGCAUGACACCUGAGGGUCAAAGGCGCAAGUCGCCUGUGGAGGAGCCUGCGU
rnacentral:rRNA from 1 species